UGCCUACGGGGCGCAGCAGUCGGGAAUAUUGCGCAAUGGAGGAAACUCUGACGCAGUGACGCCGCGUGCAGGAAGAAGGUUUUCGGAUUGUAAACUGCUUUCGACAGGGAAGAAAGAAAUGACGGUACCUGUAGAAUAAGCUCCGGCUAACUACGUGCCAGCAGCCGCGGUAAUACGUAGGGAGCAAGCGUUAUCCGGAUUUAUUGGGUGUAAAGGGUGCGUAGACGGGAAUUUAAGUUAGUUGUGAAAUCCCUCGGCUCAACUGAGGAACUGCAACUAAAACUGGAUUUCUUGAGGGCUGGAGG
rnacentral:rRNA from 1 species